AAGGCACAUCGGAGACUGGGGCGCACGAGAGACAGACCUGGAAUUGCAGAGGCAGAGACGCACGGGCGCACGUCGCUUUUCGCCUCCCGCAUAGUGGGGAGUCCCGCGCCUGUCACCGAAACUGGAGGACAGGGUUCGAGCGCGGUCAUGUCAGCGCCUGAACUGGGCAGAAGAUUGUGAACCAGCGUCCCUGCCACCAAUUUUUUUUACAAUUUCUCACUAUUUCCCUUUUUUGCCUCCCCGUCUUUUGUGGGUGCAGAUAUCGAUGUGAGCGGGUUUUCCGUUGAGACGGCGGGAGCAUACGGCGCUGAACGUUGAUGUGGGAGGACUGUGUCCCUCCGAGGCGUGGGGACCAGAUGACGGGGAAAUGCUCCGCCGCGCUGACGGCUGCAGCCGUCCCCGCAACGGCUGCGUGACCCGGGCGAGGAGAGGAGCGAAGCACCGCCGCCGACAGCCGGAGCCAACCCUGACUCUGACACCGCAGCAGCUCCAGCUGCCAGCGCGAGCCUCCACUCUCUCUGUCUGUCUGCAAUCAUGGGCAAACAGGAGCAGAGGGGAGAGGGAGAAGUAUGUGAGCUCUCCGCUGCAGUAUUGAUGACCCAAUGAUCCCCUGCAGAACAGAGCCAGUCAGGCAGACAGAGUGAGGCUCAACUCUGAAUCAAAAUCAGAAUCAGCGCCACAACUAUUUGGUAAAAGCGACCAUCCCUGCAGGAAAUAAACGGUCGUUGAAACUUCUUGCUAGAGAAAGGCAGCUACGAAAAGGAUACACUCGUUUACACCGAGCAGAAAAACAUCCCUCCUUUUCCUUCCUCACUAAAACCACACACUGAAUGAGUGGCUUGUCAGAUCACCUUUGUUCAGGCCAAUCUGGGGCUCCAGCGGGCUGUGGUGGGAAUCAGGCAGAGGAACAAGGGUGCGUGGGGGGACUGGAGGAGCUAGAAGGGCCUGACCUCUGGACUGGGGAGCUUGGGUUCCAGGCAGAGUUCCGGGAUCCCUCCAGAGAUGGACUGGCACAGGUGACGUCCGACCACUUUGCCACCUCCUCUCCCUCUCCCUCUGCCCUGGCCAACGGCCUUAACCUGCAGAGAACGCUGGGGCACAACACCUGUCGACGGAGGCUGACAGAAACUCACACCUCUGCUGAGACACGUACAUUUGUAGAGACAUUAAGGAACAUGCAGACACACAUAGACCCAGGUGUGCAAGCACCAGCAGUGUCACACGCACACAUAGAUAAUUGUGGACACAAUGAUAUCAAUUCACACACAGGUUCUGUCGGGCUGGAAUACCCCAGAACUCUCACACCAGAGGCCAUACACACACCCUCACCUCAACCCCUGUCUUUGGCACUUGGCAAUCAUCCUGCCUCCAUUAAUCAGCUGGCAGCCCCAGUUCACACAGAGGUGAAGGACAUCUCCUCAACCUUUUGUCCCGUCCCUAUUUGUCCAGACCGGACCGCAACCUCCUCUCCCCUUCCUGUGGAGUCAGAGAAAAAGUAUGCACUCCGCAGCUCUGGACGUCCUCGCUUUCCCUGUCACCUGCGUAAAUCCUCGCGACUCCGCCGAGGUAUAGAGGAUGGGGAGAAGAGAGUGGUGAAGGAGAGGGGAGAAGAGGAAGAGAAAGAAGCGUUAGUGGAGAAGAUCUGGAAGGUGAAAGAUGAAGAGGUGGCUGUUCAAAAGAAAGAAGAACGUCCGUCUGUAAAAGAUGUUCUCCCGCCGACUCCCUACCCAACAGACAUUGCACUCGCUCUAACUGUUCAACCCAAACUUGCUCCUAAAGCGAUACAUAAACCGGGACCCAGGAUUGGGCAUCGACCUGGACCCAAAUCAAGGUCUAGACCUGCACUGAAAGGCACUGAAAGGCCUGUUCAUAAAGCAGCCCCUAAAAGUGUAAUGAAACGGCGUCAGGCAGCACAGUCUAUGUCUCAACGUGUUACCCCACAUCCACCACUUGUGAACCCACCCACCAUCCCUGCAUCUCUGCUAACUGUGAAGGAAGAACCUGUUGCUGGGUUAGGGGUAUGUCCUCCCAAUAACCAGAAAUGUGGACGUUUUGUUGGUGUAAGACGGAUUGUCGUCAAGGUGCCUCGUAUACCUGUCAGUCUCAGCCGCAGACAGAAGAGCUACAAGAUUUCCAAUAUGGAGACCGUUACAGGAACAGAGAAGGGCAACGACGGUGGUGUGGAGGGCUCCGAGGCAGCUCGAGAGCCGACUGCACUACUCCGCAUGAAGAACAACGGGAAGAGUGUCAUGGUGAUGUUCCCUCCAGGAGAGCUGCCUGUUAUUCUCAAACGCAGGCGGGGGCGACCACCUAAGCAGGCUGUGCCAGCAAUACCGGGAGAGCCUCCAAACGCCAGCGGUGCUAGUGGUAAUGGAGACCAGCCCAAAAAGCCUCGGAGGCGGCGGCGGACUAAACUCCCUACUCCUCUUCCGUCUUAUGUUAAUGACACUAAUGAUGUGAAAACAGAAUAUGGCGAUGUCCUGUCCAAACUGGCCUUUUUAAACCGUCAGCCACCGACCACUGGCCGCUGCUCUCCACCUCGGUGCUGGACACCCAGUGAGCCAGAAAGCUUUCAUACACCCUCGGAGAACCCGGGAAUAUCCACCCUACUCCACAGGCUCACUGGGUUCAGGCGUCCACGGGGUGGCAGAGGAGGGGGCAUUGGAAGAGGUGGAGGUGGAGCAGGAGGGAUCGGAGGCAGUGAGUGCAAUAAGAGCACCUUCAGUGACUUCUUUGAAUCUAUAGGCAAAAAGCGGAAACUGAGCCCCAUGUCUGAGCAUGGAUUACCUAGAAAAAGGGGGAAGGGUGUGGGAGGGGUUGGUAGAGGAGGGGGUGUUGUAGGAACUGACCCUGGUGGAGAGAAAAUAGUCAGGAGGAGACGGAUGAAAAAAAAUGGUGCAUUUAAAGGGGACGGAAGUUCCAUGGGGCAGGACUGGCCCAAUGGGGCAGGUGGAUGGGGGGAGGAGGGGGGAAUGGAAAAGGAGAAAGGUUUGGGUGUGUUUCAGCUCUGUGGCUCUCCAAGGGGGGGCUUUUCCUCCUGUGAGGUUGGAAGGGGGGGCAACUACAACAGUCAAGGAGGGAGCAGAGGAGCUGGGCCUGCCGGGGAGGAUUCACAAGGCCUUUUUGCUGGAUAUUUCCGGUCUCUGCUUGACUCUGACGACUCGUCAGACCUGAUGGACAUGUCGCAGUCAGAAGCCCGCAAAGCUUUAUCCUCCACUGGUUAUGAGCCAUCCAGCCCAGCUACUGGUCACAGCUGGGCGCCUGCAUUCUCCAAGUGGUGCUCUAAGGGUGCAAAUUCUGUAGUGGAGGGUUCAGGACAAACACACUGCUCCUCAGCCAGGCCUCUAUACAGCUAUAAUAGCUUAGCCCAAACAUCACCCACCACUUGUACCUAUCCUAAAUCCACUCCUCCAUCUCUCUCACACUCCCCUGGCUCCCCCCACCCUGCUUCUUAUGGUCACUACUCCUCUGGCUACUCCUCCUCUUCUCCUGCAGUGUCACAGAGAUCCUCAGACUGCAGCUUUGCAUAUGGGUCCGGACACAGCAGUGGAAAGGGAAACCCUGUUGGUCAGGCUGGUUAUUCUAGCUACCAGGCAGCCAAGCGGGGGUUUUGUGGAUAUCCUGCAACAGGUCAUUCCUCCAUGGUGCGGGGGGAGACAGCUGGACCCACAUCACCUGGAGGAGGGUAUAUGUCUAUGGCCAGAGGAAGCCCAUUCAGCUCCUCCCCUUCUCCAGAAGGAUUCAAACAGUUCAGCUCCAGUCAGUGGAGCUACAGACAUGGAUAUGGCGGCUGGCCAACAGACAGCUUUGGGCCUCAGUAUCAUGGCUACAGUGAAUAUGGCUCCAAUGAGUCCAAAGACAUCUUGGAUAUCUCGAACUACACACCCCAGAAGACCAAGCGACAACCAUUUCCUGAAAGUCUGUCUGAGUCCUCUAACGACUCUUCACAUCUUAGCUCUGCCGCCCCAGGCCCGGUUGCUACAGGUGGCACAUACAAACAGAACGAGGCUGCUCCUGUUAGUGGAGACGGGGGUCAGUCGAGUCUGUCCAGCCUGGAGAAGUUGAUGAUGGAUUGGCAUGAGAGUGCUUCAGGGCCCUCGUAUAACUGGAGCCAGAGCGUCCUCUUCCAGGGUGGAGGAACCAACAAACCUGGCCGUGGACGCAGGAAACGGACUGAACCACAAUCGGAAAAGGAGGGGAUCGCUGCUUUACUCUCUGAUUCCCAAUCCAGUCCCUCACCAACACCUGUUCCGGGACCUAAGCGAGGAGGUGGCAGUGGACGGGGCAGAGGGUCUAGAGGAGGUAGGGGGGGGUUGUCUCCAUGUCAGAGAGAGCGGCCAUCGGGGACUAAAGGCAGGGGCAAGGCUGUCUCUACAUCCGGAACAGCGGGAGUUUUGUCUGCUGGAGGUCCAGAAGGGUCUGGGCUUUUCCAGGAGGUUCUGGACUAUUACAGCGGUGACAGUAGCAGCCUCUCUCCCCUGGCCACUCCCAAUCCUGCACCAGCCUCCAGCUACCUCCAGGACCCCUGUGAGUACCCCUCCCCUUAUUCAGCCCACCCCUCCACACCUUCCUCUGAGGAACGAUAUCCCGCUUUAUACCCAGGAGAGUCCUCCUCUUCCCUCUCGCCCAGCGUCUCAUCUCCCCCUUACCCUCCCAAGCCCACCCCUCCUCCACCCCAGUCCUACCACCCAGUCCCAUCCAGGACCUUCUCCCCCUCCUGCUCUCCCUCACCACGGGUAACACCCCACUGCAGCACUGCACUGAGUCCCUCGAAUCGCCCCCCUCCUAAAGAUCCACCGUUCUCUCAGUAUGACUCCCCGAGCUACUGCAGCUCCCCCUACUGGUACGGACAGACAUCGCACAGCGGGAGCCCCAGCCCGCAUUCACACAACGCACACUCAAACACAGCCAUGCACACACACAGCAACCCACACUCAAGUCCACAUGGAAAUUCACAUGGAAAUUCACAUGGCAAUCCCCUCGCUGGCCCAAAUGCAAACGCACACUCACAAAUAAUCCAGACUCCCCACGACACACACCAUCACAACACACAGCCACACGCAAACCUGAGCGCACAUCCCAACGCCCAUUCCAACUCACACCUCCAGAGCAACGCACUCACCCACACAAGCGCUCACACCAACAGUCAGCCGCACCACAACACACACACCAACGCCAACACUCGCCUCCCGUCCCAUACACACUCCAACCCCAGCCCCGGUCUCCUCUCGCACUCAACACCUGUGCUCUAUGAGGAGCGCAGCCCUCCCUCCACCAUGAGCAGCCACAAGCGGGAUCUGACCCCCCACCCUAUGAGCACAGGCCAUCGCCAGGGUCUCCUUCCUCUCUCCUACCCCAAACCUCCCCUGGACUCCUCACCCCAUCAGGAGGACACUAGUGGCUUCUCCCUGUCCCACCAAUCCUACCAGGGCAUGGGACACCGUUACCCCUCCCAGGUGGCUCAGGGAGGCGGGGUGCUGUGUCAGCUCCUGGACCCAACCAAUGAUGACAGCUUCAACGUCACCAGCCUGUAACAGCAGUCAGCAGACUGUUUUUGGCUGGAAAAGACGAUCCAACAGCGAGGAUAAGAAGCGGCAUAUUCUUAAGAUAUCAUGGAUUUAAGAGGGCAUAGAUUUUAUUAGGUUCAUUCAGUCCAAGCUUUUACAGAUUUGCAAACAUUUUUCUUUUCUUUUUUUGACUUCUUUAUGAGAGACUGUGAAACGAAGGGUGAGAAUUUAGCUGCCAGCUUUGGACAGUAGAGCUUUAAUUCUCCAGCAAUGACAAUCAAAAUCAGCCACAACUUAAACACCCAAGCAUGUACACACACGCAUACAUAAACACACACACACAAAUACAGACACGCAUGUGCAGAUCAAUUCACUACCUAAACAUGAACGCAUAAAAUCAUGUGCGCACUCACUCACACUGGAAUGAGGGAAUGGCCAAGAGGAGCUGACAGAUGAAAACCAGACGCUGAUGGACACAGACAAACCUAUUUUCUCAUUCUGUUGUGGUACAUAGAGGACUCUGUUUCCCAGAAGUCUGUAUCUUGCCAAAUCUUUCUGUUCUGUGCAUCUGCAGUGUGGACAAACUGGGAUCACACUGCUCUAUCGCUCUUUCCGUUUUUCUUCCCUCUGUCCUCCCCCAUCUCCCCUUCUUUUGCUAAACCAGCAACCGUGUUCUGCACUUAACUCACCAACACUGCAUAUCUGUCUUGUGCUCUAAUCUGAACCACAUCUGAGCCCAAAAUCCACUUUUUUGAAUACCAUGAGCCUUGCAAAUGUCCUGCUCUGUGAACUCCUUGUGUUGUGUCCCAUAAGAGAAACGUGGACUAAUCCAGCUCCUGCUCUUGAAAUACCAGCAUCUGUACAUAUGACUCCAGCUCCACGCCAUGGGCCCCCUCGUCACUCUGAAGGUCCAUCAUCAACGUGCCCUCCUCAGCAUUCUGUCAUGGUGUCUCUGCUCUGCGUUGGGGUUGGGGGUGGGGGGAGC